CACAAAAAACCUAGUCCUCUAUUCAUGUAAAAAUAGCAGAACCCCAAAAAUUCCCCCACCCACGGCUCCUCUCUCACCCCCUUUACUCCUUGUUUUCUUCCUUAAUGGUUUGGUAAAAACAAAAUUGGAACUUCCAUAGCUGAACUCACAUUUCCCAAAUAACCUUUUCCUUUGCAAGAAAGUAGCCAAAUUUAUAUACUCACUAUAACCAUGAAUUGUCACUUUCUUUUCUUGAAAGGUUAAGUGUAUUGGUAGAGUGUUUCUAGCUCCAGAUCUGUAUAGCUCUUUGUCUGAAAAUCCAGCAAUCAGCGAUUCCACCCCUUUUUCUCAAGAGAAAACGAGCAGCUUCACUCUCUCUUUCACAGAAGAAAAUUCGAGCAGUAGCCCUCCCCUUCACCCAAAAAUCGGCCAUUAAUUCCAAAAUCAAAAAGCAGUUGACUCGCCCCUUUAAAAUACCACAGCCGCUGCUCUCUUCAUUCUUCAGUUUCAGAAAUUUAGGUUCAAAAAUGGAGUCAAGCUGAAGUAGGUGUUCGAUUUGGAGUGUCCGUUCGAGAUCGGUUCUCGAUUCCUGUAUUUUCUUCGGGCCUUCAUCUUGUUGAAUCUGUUGCAACAACAUUUCUUUACAUAUUAAAGGAGAAGCACUUAACAGUGCAACUUGUCAUGUUUGGGAUGCUUUCCAACUUGCACAUGCAUCCUUCAGGCUUUACUGUGUCCGAAAGAACCUCGUUGUCCCUGAGAUGAGCCAGACGAUCAGUGGUAAGCUGGGUCCUGACCUGCUGGUGAUCCUCCCAACCAAUAUCCCUCUGCCUGAGACCGGUGCCUGAGACCGGUCCUGAAGAUGAUGAAGAAAGCAACGCCGAUACUCUUCCUGCCAUAAAGAUCUAUGAUGAUGAUGUGAACAUGAGGUUUCUCAUCUAUCGAACGCCAUGCUCACUGGAUGAAUGCUUGUUGGGAUCUAUAACAGAUGGUCUGAAUGCCCUCUUAAUCAUUGAGGCAAG